AUUUGUCUAUUUAAUUAAAACAAAGCAUUGUGAUGGUCCUUGAGGAUGUUGACAUAAUGUGAUUUAUGCCUAGUGCUCUGUAUAUCAAAGUCAAUAAAUUCAACCAAGCGUGGGUAAAGGGUGGUAGUAACUAUGAUUAUCUUAAGGUAUCCAGAUGCCUUGUCAUUUAAUUAGUGACGCCCAUGAAUGAAUUAAUGAGAUUCCAACUGUCCACUAUCUAGAGAAGCCACAACCAAGAGAACAAGCUUGGCAGAAUUAGUGGGGAAAGAAGACCUUGUUUAGCCUGACUCUAGUCCAACUUUGUGAAAUGACUUGAUAGGUGUAGAAUAAGUGGGAGUCAUUUUCAGUGCAAGUGAUAUACCACUACUUUUAACGUUAUUUUACUUAUUUCGUGGGGAAGAGAUGGGGCAUUGCACAUAUGUUAAAAUAUAACACACAUUUCCUCAAAGUGUUGUCAUUGAUGGCAAUGGUCAAGAGCCCAUUCUUCACACACUUGAUGGUAAUGAGUUUAGGAAACAAAACUUUCAACGUUGGCCCCAUCCACAUGUCAGUUAUAAGUGGGGUCAAGUACAUGAGCAAGCACACCUUACUUUUGUCUUUU
rnacentral:ncRNA from 1 species